UACAGAGGGUGCAAGCGUUAAUCGGAAUUACUGGGCGUAAAGCGUGCGUAGGCGGUUCGGUAAGUCAGGUGUGAAAUCUCCACGCUCAACGUGGAGGCGCCACCUGAAACUGCCGUGACUCGAGUCCGGUAGGGGAGUGUGGAAUUCCUGGUGUAGCGGUGAAAUGCGCAGAUAUCAGGAGGAACACCAGUGGCGAAGGCGGCACUCUGGGCCGGUACUGACGCUGAGGAGCGAAAGCGUGGGGAGCGAACAGG
rnacentral:rRNA from 1 species